rnacentral:rRNA from 1 species
GUGAUCUGAGGGGAGCAAGAUAACCCGCUGAACUUAAGCAUAUCAGUAAGCGGAGGAAAAGAAACUAACAAGGAUGGCCUCAGUAACGGCGAGUGA